rnacentral:lncRNA from 1 species
UGAGGUCCCAUGUCUGUUUAUGCGGUGGCUCGCUGCUCAGGAUGGGAUGGCAGAGAUGAACACCACCAUCAAAAACUCAAGGACCAGUGCUAUUGGUCCGGUCAUCUGUUUCAUGGAAUUCACCAGUCUGGUAUCUUCAGAAUCCAGAAGGAUGAUGGCAGAUGGCAGGAAAGAACCAUUGGAGAUACUCGUUACUCUUUGAAGGCUUACAGUGGAAUGAAUUCAAAUAUGACUUAUUUGAGGAAUUGAAGUUGACUUUAUGGAGCUGAUAAGAAUCUUCUUGGAAAAAAAAAGACUGGAUAUAUUUUCAAUAUGCUUUCCUUUUAAGGUCCCGCACCUGUGGAAAGUAAAGAAUGUCACUUUCUGACAGGCUCAGGAACCUCAAGUUAUGUAGGGAUCUCAAGAAGAUUGGGGGAAUUCACCCAGUUCAUACAGGUGAAAUUGCUGUUGCAAAGAUUAUGAAUAUGAGAGAAGUCCAGCAUGGCUGACUUCAUCUCAUGUCUGGCCUCAGGCUGGCUGCCCUUGCUCACUGUUGGGCAUAGGCCAAGCUAGCCAUGGGAGGAAUGUAGUUUAUAGUUUAACUUUGAAGCAAGGAUGAUAAUAGUCUCUCCCUAAAAUGAACCCCUUCCUUGCUCAGGGACUGAAACUACCUUUUUACGACAAAUGAAAGCCCGCAAGAUUAAGACUGUGAGAGGGGCCUGAAUUCUGCUAAAAUGCAGGUGUAGCUGACUGAUAACCAGUCAUUGUCCCACAGCUUGCCUUUCUAUAAUCUGUUGCUCCUCAGGAAUCACAUGGCCAGAGGUCCUGAGAUUUCCAGUCCUGUGACCCCCACCCAGAGAUGGACUUAGUGCAUGAGGACCAUUUUCCACACCCCUAUGAUUU